UCGAUAAAGGGACUGGAGCACGUCCCCUACAACACCAGGCUGGGACAGCUGGGGCUGCUCAGCCUGGAGAAGGGAAGGUUGUGUGGAGGCCUCAUGGCAACCUCUCAGGAUCUGAAGGGGCCAUCAGGGAAGCUGGAGAGGCACCCUUCAUCAGGAACUGCAGUGACAUGACGAGGAGUAAUGGAUAUGACACGUUUAGGCUUUCCCUCAAAAACAUGGGCAAGAACAGUAGCAUUGUCUGCAGAGCAGAGGGACAUAGCUGGAGAAAUGAACACAGUGCACAUGCAGUGCCUGGCCUGAGCCUGGGGGCAAUGAAAGUUUAUCAAGCAACAUCUCACCUUUUCUAGAGAACCAGAAGACUUAGAAGAGAGAGCUUCUUACAUUAGGACUGUUUCUUGUAUUUUCAAAUCAAAGUACAUUUCUAAUCAGCCAUUUGCAGAUCCCAGUGUCCUGGAUUUUGUGAAUGUUUGCUGCUCCCCAUCUAAAGACUGCACAAAGAUGCAGUGUUCCACAGGCAGAAUCUUGCCAGAAGCUCUCCAAAUGCUGAAGGAAUGACAGGUAGUCAGGAACUCUGGGGAAAGGGUAGUCCUCUGCCUUAAUAUUUGAAUGCCACACUGAAAGCAAGUCCUGGUACUGGAAAUGCAGAGUGUAUGGUUCAGCUCUUUGCAAGUAGGAGUAAGUGGUAGUUUAAUGUAUGGAUCUGUAUAACCAUGGGAAUCUAAGAUUCCAGUCAGCUGUUAACUGCAGCUCAAAUACUGUGGAACAAUAUGACACACUGUGUAAUAUUACAAUAAAAAUACAUCUAUGUGUAUAUAUAUAAUAUUACUGUGUAAUCAAGUAAUCUUGAUUAUUAUUUUGUAGUACACAUUUUUGG